UCAGCAGCCGCGGUAAGACGGAGGGGGCAAGCGUUGUCCGGAAUUACUGGGCGUAAAGCGCUCGUAGGCGGUAUCAUACGGCGGUGGUGAAAGCUCCCGGCUCAACUGGGAGAGGCCCGCCGCAACGGUGGUACUUGAGGGUGGUAGAGGCAGAUGGAAUUCCUGGUGUAGCGGUGAAAUGCGUAGAGAUCAGGAGGAACACCCGUGGCGAAGGCGGUCUGCUGGGCCACACCUGACGCUGAGGAGCGAAAGCUAGGGGAGCGAACGGGAUUAGAUACCCCGGUAGUCCUAGCCGUAAACGAUGGAUACUAGGUGUCAGCGGUAUCGACCCCGCUGGUGCCGCAGCUAACGCGUUAAGUAUCCCGCCUGGGGAGUACGGCCGCAAGGUUGAAACUCAAAGGAAUUGACGGGGGCCCGCACAAGG
rnacentral:rRNA from 1 species